GAAAACAUCUGUCCAAGCCGCUCUACAUCUGUACGGCAUCACUAGAAGCUAAAGCGCUUACAUUAGAAUAUCAACAGCAAGAAUUAACUGGCGAUGGCGGGCGAGCCGUCGGAGGAGAGAGAGUCCAGCGAGCGGCGCGUGCUCUGCGUCCUGGCGUGCUGUCAGUAAAGUGACGAGCUGGAACACGGCCCGUCCACGCCCUGCAGCUGUUGCUCCGGGUUGGAAAUUAACUGGAAAUGGAUUGGCGCUCAUUUUGAAGUAACGAUAAAUUUGGAGCUGGUAUUGACUUGGAAGUGACGACACAACCACAAUUAGGAAAUUGCUUUAAUGGGUGCAUUAUACGAAGAAACUGCAUAAACAAGAAAGACAAUGCACAUUUGUAAAGGGAUACAUUCAUUAAAAUUGAGACGGGAGCAGUCCAUCUGUGGAGUUGUUUGGCGAGCGCGGAGACGGCGUCGGCGCAUGUUUCGGCAUGUCCCGUCCCGCCGAC
rnacentral:lncRNA from 1 species